rnacentral:tRNA from 1 species
UAGAGCAUCUCGUUUACACCGAGAGGGUCGGGAGUUCGAAUCUCUCAUCACCCACCA